AUCCGAUCGUUCCAAGUUAAUUAGUCCAUUUUUCUUCCUCGUACUCACAUCUAUCAACUGAGCCACCCAUCUUCUUUAACUCGUAUCCACCGCUACCUAUUCCGCUGGAAAAUUUCGGCAGGAGAGUAUGUUGGAAGUGAUUGUUGGGGAUUUGAGUCAACAAUGUGCAAUUCGAUCGUCCAACAUGUAUUUCCAUGAACAAAACUCAGUGAUUUUUUGUUAGUGAUAUAAUUUCAAGAACACAUCAGUUCCUGAUUAACCCCAAACACAUGUUUUCGAUUUAUUUCUCGGGUUCAAGGAGUCACAACCGGCCAUCGUUCCAAUGGGUUCGCCAUCACCUUCCACCUGAUUUCACGCUCAUGUCUUGUCCAACCAGGCUAAAUUACUGAGUAAUUCUAUAACUACCAUCAAGCCUUUUGCUACUUUACCGUGAAUGGGCAUGUAUAUGUUGACUGAAUAGGUCAUUUGACAGCAAGAAGCCAUAUAUAAGUUUUGGUCUGGUACUCCUUGAGUGUUUAACAGGUUGGCGAUGCAUUGACAAAAAUAUCCACCUGGUGAGCAAAUAUUGGUUGUAUUUGCUAAAGCCUCUUUUGAGUAGCAAACGAAUGAUUCUUCACAUCAUGGACCCAUGUAUCGAAGGCUUGAUGAAAGAACCCAAAUACAUGUCGAGUGUUGAUGAGUUGGUUAAAGCAUUGGAGCAUAUUUAGGAGUUGCAUAAAGCAUUGGAGAAUGUUGGAAUGGAAUCAGUGAGAAAAGAGAAUCAGAAUGGAAAUGAGAAAGAAAAUAAGAACAAAAAUGUUUCUUAUCAGUGUGGAUAUUUUGGUGUAUAGUUUUCGAGUUUUAUGAAUAUAUAAUUCAAACUCACUUUUUUAAAUUCAAGCUCAAGUCUUGAUUUCUGGUUA